rnacentral:rRNA from 1 species
GAUGAACGCUGGCGGCGUGCCUAAUACAUGCAAGUCGAGCGAACGGACGAGAAGCUUGCUUCUCUGAUGUUAGCGGCGGACGGGUGAGUAACACGUGGAUAACCUACCUAUAAGACUGGGAUAACCUCGGGAAACCGGAGCUAAUACCGGAUGAUAUUUUGAACCGCAUGGUUCAAAAGUGAAAGACGGUCUUGCUGUCACUUAUAGAUGGAUCCGCGCUGCAUUAGCUAGUUGGUAAGGUAACGGCUUACCAAGGCAACGAUGCAUAGCCGACCUGAGAGGGUGAUCGGCCACACUGGAACUGAGACACGGUCCAGACUCCUACGGGAGGCAGCAGUAGGGAAUCUUCCGCAAUGGGCGAAAGCCUGACGGAGCAACGCCGCGUGAGUGAUGAAGGUCUUCGGAUCGUAAAACUCUGUUAUUAGGGAAGAACAUAUGUGUAAGUAACUGUGCACAUCUUGACGGUACCUAAUCAGAAAGCCACGGCUAACUACGU